CCCCCGCCCCAUGACAAGGCCGAACAUGGAGCAUUAAAGGGAGG
rfam:Louping ill virus, complete genome